rnacentral:rRNA from 1 species
CCUACGGGAGGCAGCAGUGGGGAAUAUUGGACAAUGGGCGAAAGCCUGAUCCAGCAAUUCCGCGUGUGUGAAGAAGGCCUUCGGGUUGUAAAGCACUUUAGUUGGGGAAGAAACAGCUUGGCCACACCAAGCCUUGACGGUACCCAAAGAAUAAGCACCGGCUAACUCUGUGCCAGCAGCCGCGGUAAUACAGAGGGUGCAAGCGUUAAUCGGAUUUACUGGGCGUAAAGGGUGCGUAGGUGGUUUUGUAAGUCGGAUGUGAAAGCCUGGGGCUCAACCUCAGAAUUGCACUCGAUACUGCAAGACUAGAGUUCGGUAGAGGGCGGCGGAAUUCCCGGUGUAGCGGUGAAAUGCGUAGAUAUCGGGAGGAACGUCAAUGGCGAAGGCAGCCGCCUGGGCCUGAACUGACACUGAGGCACGAAAGCGUGGGUAGCAAACAGGAUUAGAUACCCUGGUAGUCCACGCUGUAAACGAUGAGAACUUGACGUUGGUUCGUUUUACGAAUCGGUGUCGCNGCUACGCGAUAGUUCUCCGCCGUCGGGAGGUACGGCCGCGAGGUUAGUAACGUUAAAGUAAGUAGUAGGUACGUCGNGAGACGUCGACGACGACGACGACGGAGGAGG